AUUGAACGCUGGCGGCAGGCUUAACACAUGCAAGUCGAGCGGAGAUGAGGUGCUUGCACCUUAUCUUAGCGGCGGACGGGUGAGUAAUGCUUAGGGAUCUGCCUAUUAGUGGGGGACAACAUUCCGAAAGGAAUGCUAAUACCGCAUACGCCCUACGGGGGAAAGCAGGGGAUCUUCGGACCUUGCGCUAAUAGAUGAGCCUAAGUCGGAUUAGCUAGUUGGUGGGGUAAGGGCCUACCAAGGCGACGAUCUGUAGCGGGUCUGAGAGGAUGAUCCGCCACACUGGGACGGAGACACGGCCCAGACUCCUACGGGAGGCAGCAGUGGGGAAUAUUGGACAAUGGGCGGAAGCCUGAUCCAGCCAUGCCGCGUGUGUGAAGAAGGCCUUUUGGUUGUAAAGCACUUUAAGCGAGGAGGAGGCUACCUGGAUUAAUACUCUAGGAUAGUGGACGUUACUCGCAGAAUAAGCACCGGCUAACUCUGUGCCAGCCGCCGCAGUAAAAC
rnacentral:rRNA from 1 species